UCCAUUAUUGUUGCCUGGGCUAGCUUCACACUCCAGUGUUGAGUCUCGUUCCACUGGCAUUAUAUUUACAGUCGGAUCUCAUUUUCAAGUGAAAACAACUCAUGUUAUCAACCCAGCUUCCUUUCUUCUGCAAGUGACUUACGUCAGAGUCCUCCCCAGGAAUCGCCUCAUCUCCUGAACCCUCCUCUUCAUCAGAAGACUCUGCAGCAGGGAGGGAAAAAAAAACACAAACGCCAUCAUUCCCAAGCCCAGCGACGUUCCCUGUGGAAAAACGGGAUCUGCCACACACA